rfam:Felis catus isolate Cinnamon breed Abyssinian chromosome X, whole genome shotgun sequence.
ACCCGGGUGGCUCAGUUGGUUGAGCAUCUGACUUCGGCUCAGGUCAUGAUCUCAUGGUUUGUGGGUUCGAGCCCACAUCAGGGUC